rnacentral:lncRNA from 1 species
CCUUUGCCCUUAAUGACCCAUAAUAAAAUGCUCUUGUUACCAAGCUCUGCUGCCAACCAUGCAGGUUGCCAUGGUAACACCAGCUGCUCCUCCACACAGUUGCUUAGUGAUCAGUGUGAUGUCAGGCUCUUGAGAUAACCACCAGCUCAGACAAAUCUUUACAGUCACAGUGACAGUCCACUGGGUCUUCAGUUAUGACUGAGCAAGGACUCUGGUGUCCAGGUAUAAUUAAAAUACACUCAGACCUAGACUGGAAAAGCCUUCAGCACAGAAUGAGGUCAUCUUUUAAAUUUCACUAUUCACUUUCACUUCUCCACAUGACUGCUUGGUUGGAGUCACUCCAUUUUCUGAGGCUCUGGCUUUAACCUUUCUGGUUACCAUGGCAACGAAGACACACUUCCAUACCAUGAGCUGGAUCUAUGAGGAAGAAUUUCCCACUGUAUGCAUUGUACGUAUGUUUGACCCAAGCAUUGCACAAAGAAUUUAAUGUAAUUUUAAACACAAUAAGUUGUCUGAGUGAGUCAUAAAGUGGAAAUAGUGAACUUUGGUAGGAAAAUGUAAUCUCAUAAAUGAACCAAGAGAAAACAGUUUUGG